AACGAACGCUGGCGGCGUGCUUAACACAUGCAAGUCGAACGGAAAGGCCCUGCUUUUGUGGGGUGCUCGAGUGGCGAACGGGUGAGUAACACGUGAGUAACCUGCCCUUGACUUUGGGAUAACUUCAGGAAACUGGGGCUAAUACCGGAUAGGAGCUCCUGCUGCAUGGUGGGGGUUGGAAAGUUUCGGCGGUUGGGGAUGGACUCGCGGCUUAUCAGCUUGUUGGUGGGGUAGUGGCUUACCAAGGCUUUGACGGGUAGCCGGCCUGAGAGGGUGACCGGCCACAUUGGGACUGAGAUACGGCCCAGACUCCUACGAGAGGCAGCAGUGGGGAAUAUUGCACAAUGGGCGGAAGCCUGAUGCAGCAACGCCGCGUGCGGGAUGACGGCCUUCGGGUUGUAAACCGCUUUCGCCUGUGACGAAGCGUGAGUGACGGUAAUGGGUAAAGAAGCACCGGCUAACUACGUGCCAGCAGCCGCGGUGAUACGUAGGGUGCGAGCGUUGUCCGGAUUUAUUGGGCGUAAAGGGCUCGUAGGUGGUUGAUCGCGUCGGAAGUGUAAUCUUGGGGCUUAACCCUGAGCGUGCUUUCGAUACGGGUUGACUUGAGGAAGGUAGGGGAGAAUGGAAUUCCUGGUGGAGCGGUGGAAUGCGCAGAUAUCAGGAGGAACACCAGUGGCGAAGGCGGUUCUCUGGGCCUUUCCUGACGCUGAGGAGCGAAAGCGUGGGGAGCGAACAGGCUUAGAUACCCUGGUAGUCCACGCUGUAAACGGUGGGUACUAGGUGUGGGGUCCAUUCCACGGGUUCCGUGCCGUAGCUAACGCUUUAAGUACCCCGCCUGGGGAGUACGGCCGCAAGGCUAAAACUCAAAGGAAUUGACGGGGCCCCGCACAAGCGGCGGAGCAUGCGGAUUAAUUCGAUGCAACGCGUAGAACCUUACCUGGGUUUGACAUGGAUCGGGAGUGCUCAGAGAUGGGUGUGCCUCUUUUGGGGUCGGUUCACAGGUGGUGCAUGCCUGUCGUCAGCUCGUGUCGUGAGAUGUUGGGUUAAGUCCCGCAACGAGCGCAACCCUUGUUCACUGUUGCCAGCACGUUAUGGUGGGGACUCAGUGGAGACCGCCGGGGUCAACUCGGAGGAAGGUGGGGAUGACGUCAAGUCCUCAUGCCCCUUAUGUCCAGGGCUUCACGCAUGCUACAAUGGCUGGUACAGAGAGUGGCGAGCCUGUGAGGGUGAGCGAAUCUCGGAAAGCCGGUCUCAGUUCGGAUUGGGGUCUGCAACUCGACCUCAUGAAGUCGGAGUCGCUAGUAAUCGCAGAUCAGCAACGCUGCGGUGAAAACGUUCCCGGGGCU
rnacentral:rRNA from 1 species